CCCAGCUACUUGGGAGGCUGAGGCAGGAGAAUUGCUUGAAUGGGGACCCGGGGGGCGGGGGUUGCAGUGAGCCAAGAUCGCGCCACUGCACUCCAGCCUGGGCUACAGAGGACAGGGAGACUCAGCCCGGAAAAAAAAAAAAAAAAAGUAAAAUGGCCUGCCGAGGUCACAUGGCAACUAUAGCUACCAUUGACCAAGCAUUUUCUCCUUGUUGAGUUUUAUGCUAAAAUGCUUCACACUUAUCAUUUCACUAUAAAGUAGGAAGUUAAGCGCCUGAACUCUGGAGCCAGCCUGCCUGGGUUUGAAUCCUGCCUCUGCCUCUUACUAGCUGUGUGACCUUGAGCAAGUUAUUUAAUCUUUCUGUGCCUUGGAGUCCUUAUCUGUAAAAUAAGAUAGCAACAAUUCCUCCCUUAUAAGGUUGUCAUGAGGAAGAAAUUAGGGAUAAAGUGCUUAAAGUCAUGUCUGGCACGAAGUAAAUGCUAUAUAGUGUUUCUUUUUUUUUCUUUUCUUUUCUUUUAAAAAGGUGAGGAAAGCCUCACAACAGCUCUUAGGGUAGAGUACUACUGUUAGUUGCAUGUUAGGGAGUAAACAGGCACAGAGAGAUGAGUUCACAUACUUGAGGUCACACAGCUUAUACAUGGCAGGGCUGGGAUUAGAGCCCAGGGUUCAUUGUAUCAGGAGCUGUGCUGGUCCCAUUUUGCCAUCCACCCUGCAGGAGAGGACAGCAGGAGUCCUGCCAGAGGGUAAGGUCCAUGGCAACUAAGAACCAGAAGGGAGUGCUGCCCCACCCACAGACCCCGGCUGGGGCUGGGUCGGGGCACAAGGACUCAGUGGCUGGUGGAGGAGGGAGAGAAAGGAGUAGCCGGCUGAGGCUCGCCAGGAUCCUAGCAACCAAAAUUCCUGCUCCAGCUGAGAAGGAAGCAUGGCCGGGCUGAGCUGCCACAGAGCUAGGCUCUGGGUCACCACCAAAGCCCCAUGCUUCUUGCCUAGAUUGAGCUUGAGCCCUUGUAAAUCCUUGCAUUUAUCAAUAGUACAUUCCAUGAAUGGGGUUCUUAUUUCCAACUCUGUGACCUUAGGCAAGCAGCUUGACCUUGCUGGACCAUGUGUCAUGAGGUUGUUAUGGGGCAUGAGUGAGUUAGCGGAUGGGAAUAUAAAGUUCCUAUCGCAGUCCAGCACAGGGCAGAAGGUGUUCAGGAUAUGGAGGUUCCCUUCCCCUCUCUGCUCAAUGCCCAGGCACCGCGGCUGACCCUUGGUCAGUAGAGCGCACCCAGACGAAUGCCCAGGUGGACACUUGUGUCUUUGUGGUUAUCUUAGGGUAGAGAAUCAGAGGCUUGUAGAUGUCUUUGCCACUUCCACGGGAUCUCUGGGAGCUGGAAACUGAGCUUUAAGAAAUAACUAUAGUGCAAAGGGAACUAAGGGAAAAGGGUUCAGCCCAAAGCAGAAGGGACUGUGAUGAUCACAGUGACCUCCUGAGGCCAGCAUGGUGGUAGCAGCCAGAGACAGCAGCUGAGUGAGACCCUAAGGGAGGGAUGAGCCAGGCAGUGUGUGGUUGGAGUUCUCCCUACACAUCUCGUUUUCCUCACCUCCAGAUCACACACAUGCACACACACAUAUGCACCCACACACCCCUUACACACUCCGGCCCGAAGGUUUCUGCAGGACUCCUUCCUGGCACUCUCUCCAGUGCUGCCAGCGUCGCACCACACUGCAAGGCUUUGCAAACUUUCCUUCCAAAGUGAAGGAGACCCUCUGGCCAUCUGAGGCUCGGUCUGAAGCAACAGCCUCAGAGCGCAAUCUCAGGCAUGCAGGAAGUGCAGGAAGGCCACGUGCCACAUACGUUAUCUCACUUAAUCUCAUUAGCAGGAAAUGUCUUUAAAGUCUUAUGUUGGUGCUUAAAAAUUCCUGAGCAGUUUAGCCCUUAAUAAAGCCAGGCUUUUUAAAAUUUGAAAUGAGGUUGAGAAAACUGUGGUCAUCGGAAUUCCCUUCAGAGACAACACUUAGCUGAGUCUCUUGGUUGUAGGGAGGAGGCUGAUGGCGGCAGAGGGGGCAGUGGGGAUGGCAGAGAGUGGGGGGAGCAUGCCAAGGGGACAUUUAAGUGAGAAAAGGUGAUACUAAAUCGCUCCAUAUUAUGUGGAGUGAGGAGGAAAGAGGGUAUGUUUGGGGGUGGGGAGAGUGUGUGUGUAUGUGAGAGAGAAUGUGUGUGUGUGUAUGAGAGUGUGUGUGUAUGUGAGAGAAUGUGUGCGUGUGAGAGUGUGUGAGACAGAGACAGUGUGUGUGUAUGUGAGAGAGAAUGUGUGUGUGUGAGUGUGUGUGAGACAGAGACAGUGUGUGUGUAUGUGAGGGAGAAUGUGUGUGUGACUGUGGGUAUGAAUGAGAGAAUGUGUGUGUGACUGUGUGUGUGAGAAUGUGUGUGAGAAAAUGUGUGUGAGAGAGUGUGUGAGUGUGUAAGUGAGAGAGAGAAUGUGUGUGUGUGACAGUGUGUGUGUAUGUGAGUGUGUGUGAGAGUGUGUGUGUAUGUGAGAGAGAAUGUGUGUGUGAGAGAGUAUGUGUAUGUGUGUGAGAAAGUGUGUGAGUGUGCAUGCAUGUGUGUGUAGGGUGUGCAAGAUCGAGCAGAGAGAUUGAAGCAAGUGAGGCUGGGAGCUGCUUCAAGGAGGAAGAGAGGGAAAGAAAGAGAAAGGCUUGCCUGUCAGAGGAGGAGCUAGAGAAGAAAAUGUGAGCUGGAGUUCAUGCAGGGGAAGGGAGAUGGGCUGUGUGGUGUGCUCCUCUUAGCAGAGGGCUUGAAAAUCUCCAGCAGGACUCGGCCUGUGUCCCCUGGACUUUGGUAUCCUUGGCAGUGCCUUGGACCUCACUGGGUACUGGAACCCACUGGUCUGUCUUUCCCACUAGACUGUGAUUGUCUCAGGGGUAGGCAAUGUGUGGCUUCCUCCCUGAGCCUCAGGCCUAGCCCAGUGCCAGGACUCAUCAAUAUUGUUUGAACUGGCUGAGCUCCAAGCAGGUGGGUUUGGAGGUUUUCACUCUUUGUUUGUUUUCUAGGUUGGUCUUAUUUAACAAGGCAGGCAGCCUGGGGUCAGACCCAAAUUCUUGCCUGCCCAGUUUCAGUCCUGCCUGGAGAAUGAGAUGGGCCUGACUCCCUCAGGCUGGAGCCCAGAUGAGUUCCUGGGUGCAACAGAGGAGGCAGUUGGAGCAAUGGGGACUGCCCAGUGGGAGGGAGGCGGAGCCAGUCUUAUUGUUGAGAGGGCAGAGGGCAGAAGGGACUCCUCUUGGCAGUUGGUCCAGCUCUGGGCUACCUUGUCCAUCCUGAGCCCUAGGAAAGAAAACAAAAGGAGCCUUGCAGUGCAGGCCUGUGUGGUCCAGAAAAAGAAAGGUAAAAUCUCCCAUGGCUGCUGCUUUCGGUCCGACAGGCAUCAGGCUGAGCUACUCGGGCUGCUUUUCCCCUCUGGGUGAGGAUGCACCAACACGAACAUACAGAGCGGCUGCUUCUACACAAAGGGACCCCAGGAGAGCAGGAGAGGCAUUUGUGGGACGUCACGGGGAACUUGUUGUCCACCUGGAAGGGGCUGCCAAGUCAGACUCUUCUUUGGGGAGAGGAGACAGGUAGCGCCCCUGUGGGGUGCCAGGGUUUGGCCAUCACUCAACGACGGCCGGGCCGGUGCCUUAAGGAGCUCGGGGAAGGAGAACACACCUGCGCAGCAUCAGCCCAGUUCUAGUGUGAGUCAUCACCAAGUAGCUGAUGGCAGCUGUGGAACAAGAGCAGGUACAG
rnacentral:lncRNA from 10 species